UAGCGUCGACGGUGCCGUGGUGUGCGGGAAUCCGGUGUGAAACCGGUGCGGCCCUCGCCACUGUGAUCGGGAGCGCUGUGUCGUUCGUUCGGUGAACGAGCCACUGGGGCCGAAGCCCUGGGAAGGCAGGACACGGCGCGUUUUUGACCCGUCAGCCAGGAGACCGGCCACGGCACUGCACGACCC
rnacentral:ncRNA from 1 species